rnacentral:rRNA from 1 species
GUGUCAGCAGCCGCGGUAAUACAGAGGGUGCGAGCGUUAAUCGGAAUUACUGGGCGUAAAGCGCGCGUAGGUGGUUUGUUAAGUUGGAUGUGAAAUCCCCGGGCUCAACCUGGGAACUGCAUCCAAAACUGACAAGCUAGAGUAUGGUAGAGGGUGGUGGAAUUUCCUAUGUAGCGGUGAAAUGCGUAGAUAUAGGAAGGAACACCAGUGGCGAAGGCGACCACCUGGACUGAUACUGACACUGAGGUGCGAAAGCGUGGGGAGCAAACAGGAUUAGAAACCCCCGUAGUCCAUUAGAUACCCGAGUAGUCC